rnacentral:lncRNA from 1 species
GUUAUCUGCCGACAGCGUAAUGCGAGGCAAGUGCCAGCCGUUCCGCCCGGCAUACAAGCUUAUGGAGCAGCCCCCUUUGAAGAUCUCCAGGUAGACUUCACAGAGAUGCCAAAGUGUGGAGAUCUGAUUCCUAGAUUGGGACUGCCCUUACGGAUCAGCUCAGAUAACGGGCCUGCGUUUGUGGCUGACAGUACAGAAGAUGGCAAAGGUAUCGGGGAUCACAUGGAAACCGCAUGCCGCCUCCUGGUCUCAGAGUUCCGGAAAGGUGGGGCGGAUAAAUCGGACUAUCCAAAAUGGUAUUACUGUCUUCCCCGCUGGAUAUUAAAAACAAUUCCACAAGGGGCGUCAAACCACCUGCCAAAUUUGAGGGAAUGUUAUCCUCUCCCCCGCCCCCCGUCCCCAGAUAUUAGAGACAAUAACACAGGGGUAAUGUAUACCCACUGCUUUAUUGGGAGUAAUAUCAUCCUCUCCCUUCUUGGAUAUUAGGAACAAUAUCACAGUGUGCGUGUACGCCUGUCGCGAAAUUCAAUGUAAUGUCAUCCUGUGCCUCUGUGGAUAUGACGAACAAUAUCACGGGGGAUGUACCACUUCUGAGAUAUUGGGAGUGAUAUCAUCCUCUCCCCUCUGGAAGUUAGGGACAAUAUCACAGGGGUAGUGUACACUCUCUGUGAUGUUGGGACUAAUAUCAUCCUCCCGCCCCCUGGAUAUUGAAAACCAUAUCACAAGGGGCGUGUACACACACUUCGAUAUUGGUAUUAAUACCAUCCUCUCCCUCUUUGGAUUUUCAGUGCAAUAUUUCAGGUGGGGUAUACACCACCUGCAAUAUUGGAAGUAAUAUUAUUUUCUCCCACUGUGGAUAUCAGCAACAAUAUCACAGGGGGUGUGAAAAACCCCUGCGACAUUCAGAGUAACAUCAUCGUUCCCCUCAUGAAUAUUAAGAACAAUAUCGUGGUGGGGGGUGUACACCCCCUUUGAUAUUUGACAUCAUCCUCUUCCCCCCUGGAUAUGAGGAACAAUAUCAGGAAGGGAUGUACAGACCCUGAGACAUUUGCUGUCAUAUAAUUGUCUCUCCCCUAGAUAUUAGGAAAAAUGUAACUGGGGAUGUGAACACCCCUGCGAUAUUGGGAGAAGUAUCAUCCUCUCCCCCGUUGGAUAUUAGGAACAAUAUCACAGGGGAGGUGUACUGCCUCUGGGCUAUUGGGAGCAAAAUUAUCCUCUCUUCCCCUGGAUAUUAGGAAGGGUCUCAGAGGGGGAGGGUGUACAUUCCCUGCGAUAUUCAAUGUAAUCUUAUCCUCUCCCUCCCAGGGUAUUAAGAACAAUAUUACAGGAGGGGUGUACACCCUCUGCGAUACUAAGAGUCAUAUCAUCCUCUUUGGCUCUGGAUAUUAGGAGCAAUAUCACAGGGCUGUGUACACCCCCUGCGAUAUUGGGAGUAAUAUCAUCCUCUCCACCCAGGAAAUUACUAACUAGGUCACGGGGGGUGUACUCCCCCUGCGAUAUUGGGAGUAAUGUCGUCCUCCCUAAACCUGGAUGUUAGCAACAAGAUCACAGAGGGGGUGUACACACCCUGCGAUAUUGGAAGUAAUAUGAUCCUCUUCCCCCCCACCCCAGAUAUUGGGAAAAAUAUCACAGCACGGGUAUACAUUUCCUACGCUGUUGGGAGUAAUAUCAUUCUUUUCUUCUCUGGAUAUUAGGAACAAUAUCGCAGGGGUGGUGUACAUUUCCUUUGAUAUUGGGAGUAAUAUCAUCCUCUCUCCAUUGGGAUAUUAGGAACAAUAUCCCAGGGGGGUGUCUACCCUCUGCGACAUUGGGAGUAAUAUCAUCCUCUGUUUCCCUGGAUAUUAGACUCAAUGUCACAAAAAGGUGUACACCCCCUGUGAUAUUGGGAAUAAUAUCAUACUCUCCUUCCCUGGAUAUUAGAAAACAAUGUCAUCAGGGGUGAACACCCGUGCGAUAAUGGGAGUAAUAUUUUCUCUUUCACAGGCCAUUAGGAACAAUAUCACAGAGGGUGUUUACACACCCUGCGAUAUUGGAGGUAAUAUCAUCCUCUGCCCCCCGGAAUAUUACCAACAAUAUCAAACAGAGGUUGUGUACACUUCCUGUGAUAUUGGGAGUAAUAUCAUUCUCUCCACCCCCGGAUAUUAAGAACAACAUCCCGGCGGGGGGUGGUACACCCCCCAGUGAUAUUGGGAAUAAUGUCAUCCUGUCCUUCCCUGGAUAUUAGGAACCAUAUCACAGGGGGGUGUACACCUUCUGUGAUAUUGGAAGCAAUAUCAUCCUCUCCCCCACUGGAUAUUAGAAAAAAUACCACACAUGGUGUACACCCACUGUGAUAUUAGGAAGAAUAUUACAGGGUGUACACCCACUCUGACUUUAGGAGAAACAGCUACCUAAAAUGUCACAAACAAUAUCACAGGGUAUACAGUAAUAUCUCCCUAGGAUAUUACAAAUACUAUUACAGGGUGUACACCCACUGCGAUAACAAGAGAAAUACAUCCCAAGGACAUUACCAAUAAUAUCACAGGCUGUACACCCACUAUGACAUAAGGAGUGAUAUUUCCCUAGGAUAUUACGAAUAACAUCACAGAAUGUACACCCAUGGUGUGCACCCAUGGUGAUAUUAGGAGUAAUAUCUACCCAGGACAUAACCAAUAACAGCACAGGGUGUACAUACAUGAUGUACACCCAUGGUGAUGUUAUGAGAACUAUCUCCCUAGGAUAUUACAAAUAACAUCACAGAGGGUACACACAUGGUAUACUCCCACUGUGGCACUAGGACUAAUAACUUUCUAACAUAUGAAUAGCAUCACAAAAUAGAAACACAUGGUGUACACCCACUGUGAUAUUAAGGGUAAUAUCCCCCUAGGAUAUUAUGAAUAACAUCACAGGGUGUUCACCCAUGGUGUACACAUGCUGUAAUACUAGGAAUAAUAUCUCUCUAGGAUAUUAUGAAUAAUAUCACAGGGUGAACACCCACUGUGAUAUUGGGAACAAUAUCUCUCUGGGAUAUUACGGAUUAUAUCACAGAGUGUACACACAUGGUGUACACCCACUUUGGUAUUAGGAGUAAUAUCUUCCUAGGACAUUACAAAUAAUAUCACAGAGUGUACACCCACUGUAACAUUAGGAAUCGCAUCUCCCUAGGGUAUUACAAAUAAUAUCACAGGGUGUACACCCACUGUGAUAUUAAAAGUCAUACCUCAGUCAGAUAUUGUGAAUAAUAUCACGGAUGUACACCACGUGUGCACACCCACUGUGAUUUUUAAAGUAAUACCUCCUUAGGAUAUUAUGAAUAAUAUCAAGGAGUGUACACACCCCAUGACAUUAAGAUAACAUCCCUUUAGGAUAUUCCAAAUAAUAACCCAGGCUGUAUACCCCAUGUGACAUUAAGAGUAACAUCUUCCUAGGAUAUUACGAAUAAGAUCCCAGGGUUGACACCCCCUGUGAUUUUAAAAGUUAAAUCCCCUUAGAAUAUUACUAAUAAUAACACAGGGUGUACACCCCUGUGAUGUUAGGAGUAACAUCCUCCCAGGAUAUUAUGAAUAAUAUCAGAAGGUGUACACACAUGGUGACAUUAGUAGUCAUAUCCCGCUAGUAUAUUGUGAAUAAUAUCACAGGGUAUACACACCUGUGACAUUAGGAGUAACAUCCCCCUGGAAUAUUCUGAAUAAUAUCACUGGGCGUACACCUCCUGUGACUUUAGGAGUAUCAUCCUGCUAAAAUAUUACGAAUAAUGUCACAGGGGGUUAGCCUGUGUAAUAUCACAGGGUGUACACCCCCUGUGACAUUAGGAGUAACAUCUUUCUAGAACAUCACGAGUAAUAUCACAAUGUGUACACCCCCUGUGACAUUAAAAGCAAAAUCCCCCUAAGAUAUUCCGAAUAAUAUCACAGGGAGUACACCCCGUGUGACAUAGGAGUAAUAAUCCGUGAGGAUAUAAUGAAUAAUAUCAGAGGGUAUAUACGUAUUGUGACAUUAGUAGUAACAUCCUGCUAGGAUAUUACGAAUAAUAUCACAAGGUGUACACCCCGGGUGACAUUAAUUGAUGGAACAGUCCCCUAGAAUAUGACCAAUAACAUUACAAGGUGUAGAACACCUGUGAUUUAUGAGUAAGAGUUCUAUAGAAUAUUACAAGUAAUAUCAUUCAGUGUGCACCCCGUGUGACAUUAGGAGUAACAGCCCACGAAACUGUGACAAAUAAUUUCAAAAGGUGUACACCCUCUGUGACAUUAAAAGUAAUAUCUUACUAGGAUAUUACGAAUAAUAUCACAGGGUAUACAGCCCCUGUGACAUGAGGAGUAAUGUCUUUUUAGGAUAUCGCGAAUAAUAUAACAAGAUGUACACACCCUGUGACAUUAGGUGUAACAUCCGUCUAGGAGACUAUGAAUACUAUCGCAGCGAACACACCCCCUGUGACAAUAGGAGUAACAUCCCCGUAGGAUAUUAUGAAUAAUAUCACAAGGUGUACACACAUUGUGACUUCAGUGCUAAUAUCCCUCUCAUAUACUGUGACUAUCACAGGGUGUGCACCCCUGUGAUAUGACAUUAGGAGUAACAUCUCCCUAGAGUAUUAUGAAUACUAUCAUGAGGGUACACACGCCUUUGGUUUAGGAGUAAUAUUCCCCUAGGAUAUUACAAAUGAUAUCACAGUAUGUACACUCACUGUGAUAUUAGGAGUCCCAUUUUCCUAGGAUAUUAUGAAUAAUAUCACAGUAGGUGUUCACACAUAAUGUGUACACCAUGUGUGUACACCCAUGUGAUAUUUGAAGUAGUAUGUCCCUAGGAUCUUAUGAAUAAUCUCAAAAGGUGUACACCCCAUGUGACAUUAAAAGUAACGUCCCUUUUGGAUAUUCCGAAUGCUAUCACAGGGUGUGAUAUUAGGAGUGUGAUAUUGGGAGUAACCUCUUCCUAGGAUAACCCAUGUGAUAUUAGGAGUAACCUCUUCCUAGGAUAUUACGAAUAACAUCACAGGGUGUACACCCCUGUGACUUUAAAAGUAACCCCCCCAUAGAAGAUUAUGAAUAAUAUAACAGGGCGCACUCCCCCUGUGACAUUAGGAGUAACAUCUCCCUAGGAUAUUAUGAAUAAUGUCACUGGGGGCACACCCUCUGUGAUAUUAGCAGCAGCAUCUACCUAGGAGAUUACGAAUGAUAUCACAGGGUGUCCACUCACUGGGAUAUUAGAAGGAAUAUCUCCCUAGGAUAUAAGCUAUCACAUCACAGAGUGUACACACAUGGUGUACACCCACUGUGUUAUUAGAAGCAAUAUCUCCCUACGAUAUUAUGAAAAAUAUCACGGGGUGUACCCUCUGUGGGAUACUAGAAGUAAUGUUUACCAUGGAUAUUACAAAUAAUAUCACAGGGUGUACACACAUGGGGUACACCCACUGGGAUAUUAGGAGUUAUAUCUCUCUAAGAUAUUACAAAUAAUAUCUCUCUAUAAGAUUACAAAUAAUAUCUAAGGGUGUACACCCCCUGUGACAUUAGGAGUAACAUCCCCCUACAAUAUUGGGAACAAUAUCACACGGUGUACACCCCUGUAACAUUAGGGGUAACAUCCCCCCAGAAUAUUACUAAUAAUAUCACAAGAUGUAUUGUGACAUUAGUAGUAAUAUCCUGCUAGCAUAUUUUCAAUAAUAUCACAGAAGGAACACACCUGUGACAAUAAGAAUAACAUCCCCCUAGAAUAGUAAGAAUAAUAGCACAGGGUGUACACCCCCUGUGACAUUAGGAGUAUCAUCUCACUAGAAUAUUAUGAAUAAUGUCACAGAGUGUUAUCUUCUGUGACAUUAGGAGUACAGACCCCUGGGAAAUUAUGAAUACUAUCACAGGGUUUACACCCCUGUGACAUUAGGAGCAACAUCUUUCUAGAAUAUCAUGAAUAAUGUCACAAUGUGUACAACCUGGUGUCAUUAAAAGUAAAAUUGCCCUAGGAUAUUAUGAAAUAGAACACAGGGAGAACACCUCGUGUGACAUUAGAAGUAACAUCCCCUGAGGAUAUAACGAAUAUGAGGCAUUUGUCCCGGUGGGACGCCCCCCAGAGCAGUGUGUGGCAGGCCCCCGUGGAGGAUCAAUGCAGUGGCUGAACACCUGGAAGGAACAGGCACUUGGAGUCUGCACAUCUGAAACUUGGUAAGACUGGUCUUUGAAACUUGCUCACUCCGUUUGAGUGGAAGCGUGGCCUGAUCACCCACGGCGUGCCUGUACAGGCACUUUGGUUUUGGUUUUGACUUGGUUUGAAUUGCUUGACGGGACUGGUCUUGAGAACUUGCCCACUCCAUUUGAGUGGAAGCAUGGCCUGAUCACCCACAGCGUGCCUGUACCGGCACUUUGGUUUUUGUUUUUGAUUUGACUUGGAUUGCUUGAUACUUUGGUUUUGGUUUUGACCUGGCUUAGAUUUCUGGUUACUCUGAUUUUGGUUUUGAUUUUUGUUUGGUGCAAACUGCAAAACUGUGUGUGUGCCCUUUUUACCCAUUUUUUUGUUUUGUGGUGUGCGUGUGGAGUGAGCAUGGUAUUUUGUCUCAAAGAAGCAUAGGUCAGGCACAAAUAAGCCCACCCUACUAGGAACUAUGUUGGAAAAUUUCAAAAAAAGAAUUUAAGAGAGACUAUGGAGUACUGUGACACUAGGAAAACUUAAAACUUUGUGUAAGAUAGACCGGCCAGCAUUAGAGGUAGAUUGGCCAUUAGAAGGAAGCCUGGACAGGUCCCUUGUUUCAAAGGUAUGGCACAAAGUAACCUGUAAGCCAGGGCACCCAGACCAGUUCCCGUACAUAGACACUUGGUUACAGCUGGUUUUAGACCCCACGCCCCCAACACACAGCGGUUGAGAGAACAGCAGCAUAAGCAGAUGGCAGAGGCAAGGAAAGAGCAGCAGAGAGAGAGAGAGGAAAGAGACAGAGAGGAAGAGAGGAAAAGAGAGAGAGGAAGAGACAGAGAGGAACAGACAAAGAGGGAGUCAAGGAGAGAGAGAGAAAGAGAGAGGCAGAGAGAGGAAGAGACAGAGGCAAAAGGAAAGUCAGAAAGAGAGAGACAAAGUCAAAGAGAGAAAGAAAGAAAGAGAUAUACAAGUAGUUAAAAAAAAGUGUACCCUAUUCUUUAAAAGCCAAGGUAAAUUUAAAACCUAUAAUUGAUAAUUGAAGGUAUUCUCCGUAACCCUAUAACAGUCCGAUACCACUUUGUUGUCAGUGUAAACAAGGGCAUAUCCCGAAAGCACUGAGGCCUUCCUAUCAAAAAUCCUUAACCCCAUAACCCGCGGAUGGCCCAAAUGCAUUCAAUCUGUAGCGGCAACUGCUUCGCUAACAAAAAAAAAAAAAAAAGGGGAAAAAGAAUAACUUUUAGAGGAAACCUCAUUGUGAGCACAUCUCACCAGUUCAGAAGUAUCCUAAGGGAAAAAAAAAAAAAAAGGAAAAAAAAGGGGGCGGGUGGAAUUUAUAUAAAAAGAGUAUUAUAUGGUAAAUUCUUGUCCUGAAAUAAAUUAACUGGUUGUUUAAAGAAAGAAAUAUUUGUAAUAAGUCAGAAAGUUGAGGCAUGUGGAAGAAUUGUCUGCAAAAGUCAAGAAAGAGAAAAAUGUUAUAAAAAAGAAUUUAUGCAAAAAAUGUUGUAUAAUUUAAAAGUAACUAGGCCUCCUGAAUGUAAAACUAUUGAAAAAAAAAAAAAACAACAGUUUAUGUGCAAGGUGUAUAAGAAAAGUAAAAUAUAUCUUUGGUAAAAGGAUUAUAAGGAGGCAUAAGAAUGUACAUUUUUACCUACAUUAAAAAGUUAAAAAUUUAUUGUUUUGAAGGUUUAAGCAAAUUUUAAAACAUUAAUUGUAAAGGAAAUUCUGUGUAUAAACAUAUUUGCUAAAGUUAAAGAAGUAUCAUCCAGUUUUUCUGUGAACUAGACAUUAAAGUAAAAGCAUAACAGGUUUUUCUUAAAGCACCAACCUGCUCUUUAGCAAAAAUUAUGAAAGGUUAAAAAGAGUCUAUAAAAUCGUAACUUACGGUCAAACAUUAAAAAUUAGAUAAAUAUGUCUACAGGCUUUUAUUAAAAUUAGGUUUAACAUUAAUAACACACUAAUAUAAACAUAACAUUUAGCUUAUCUGGUAUAAAAAUCAUACAAGAAGCAUUGUUAAAUGUAAAAUGGUAUUUGGCUUUCUUUGGUUUAAAAACUAAUAAAAAUAGGUGCUAAAGGAAAUUUCUCAGUAAAAAGACACUAAGGACUAUAAAGUCCACUGCCAAGGUCCCCACAUUUAAAACAAAAGGUCAGUUUCUUAAAAAUUAUAUACUUGGUUUAUCUUCCACUUUCCUUUCUCUCAAAAACUAAAAGUCUUUUAGCACAUGUACCACCGCUAGAAUUUCCAGUAAAUCAGCACCAGCCUGAAGAUCACGUUCUCAUCAAAGGGUGGAAAGAAGAAAAACUUGAGCCCGCCUGGGAAGGACCCUACCUUGUCCUGCUAACCACCAAGACUGCUGUUUUUACAGAAAAAAAAAAAGAUGGACUCAUCACACCCAAGUCAAGAAAGCGCCACCCCCUCCAGAGGUGGGGGCCAUAGUCCCAGGGGAAAACCCUACCAAACUAAAGCUAAGAAAAAUGGAGGAAACUUCGUGUUCCUUGGAGACCUGAAAGGAUGCAGUGAAGCAUAAGAAUUUUCAAGAGCUUAUCAAUGAGGCAGCCCUUGUUCAUCCCUGAGCGGAUGUGUGGUGGUAUUGUGGUGGACCUUUACUGGGCACUCUGCCGAAUAACUGGAGUGGCACUUGUACUUUAGUCCGGUUGGCUAUCCCUUUCACCCUGGCAUUUCAUCAAUAAGACAUCAUAAAGCGAGAGAAGCUCCUUAGGGGUCUUUCAACUCUCAUGUCUAUUUAGACGCAAUUGGAGUCCCACGAGGAAUACCAGAUCAAUUUAAAGCUUGAAAUCAAAUAGCUGCAGGAUUUGAGUCAAUAUUUUGGUAGGUGACAGUUAAUAAAAAUGUAGAUUGGAUAAACUACAUCUAUUACAACCAACAGCAACGAGCUUUUCAUGAGUUAAAAGAAAACUCACGUCAGCUCCAGCCCUGAGGCUACCUGACCUGACAAAACUCAACAUUCUAUGUGUCAGAAAGAGAAAAAAUGGCAGUUGGAGUUUUAACCCAGACUGUGGGGCCCUGGUCAAGGCUAGUGGUCUAUUUCUCAAAACAACUAGACAGGGUUUCCAAAGGCUGGCCCCACGUCUAAGGGCCCUGGCAGCAACAGCCCUGUUAGCACAAGAAGCAGAUAAACUAACCCUUAAGCAAAAUCUGAAUAUAAAGACCCCCCAUGCUGUGGUAACCUUAAUAAAUACCAAAGGAUAUCAUUGGUUAACAAAUGAUAGAUUAACCAAGUACCAAAUCAUGCUAUUUGAAAAUCCCCACAUAACCAUUGAAGUUUGCAACACCCUAAACCCCACCACAUUUCUCCCGGUAUCAGAGAGCCCAGUUGAACAUAACUGUGUAAAGGUGUUGGACUCAGUUUAUUCUAGCAGGCCUAACCUCUGAGACCAUCCUUGAACAUCAGUAGACUGUGAGCAGUACGUGGAGGGGAGCAGCUUUGCCAACCCCUGCAAAGUGACUCUGAAGAAGACGACAAGCCCUACUCCAGUCACACCUGGAAGCUGACUGGUCCACACACAGCCGAAGCAUGAGAAAACCCAUUGCGGGACUCAUUUUUCUUAAAAUUUGGACUUUUACAGUAAGGACUUCAAAUGACCUUCCUCAGACUAAGGACAGUUCCCAUUGUAUACAUCAAGUCACUGAGGUAGGACAAAAGGUUGCUAUGGUCCUAUUAUUUUAUGGUUAUUAUAAGUGUACUGGAACUCUAAAAAGAACUUGUUCGUGUAAUGUUAUUCUAUACAAAGUAUGUAGCCCAGGAAGUGACCAACCUGAUGUGUGUUAUGACCCAUCUGAGCCUCCCAUGACCAUAGUUUUUAAAAUAAGAUUAAGGACUGAGGACUGGUGUGGACUCAUAAAUGAUACGAGUGAAGUGUUAGCCAAAACAGAAGAAAAAGGGGUGCCCAAACAAUUCAUCUUAAAAUUUGAUGCCUGUGCUGUCAUUAAUAGUAGUAAGUUAGGAAUAAGUUGUGGUUCUCUUCAUUAGAAAAGGCUAUAUGGCAGAAAAUAAAUACAUCUGUCAUAAAUUAGCACUGUGUGGAAAUAAAUGUAAACACUGGUCUUGUGUCAUUUUGGCCACUUGGACAAAAAGAAAAUGAAAAAGAUCCAGUCCACCUUCAGAAAGGAAAAAAUGGCCCUUCCUGUACUAAGGGACAAUGUAACCCCUUAGAGCUAGUAAUAACCAAGCCCCUUGACCCUCGCUAGAAAAACAGAGGAGCGCGUGACCUUAGGAAUUGAUUGGGCCAGACUGGAUCCUCAACUAAAUAUCUUGGUUCAAGGAGAAGUUUACAAACGCUUUCCUGAGCCAGUGUUUCAAACUUCCUAUGAUGAACUAAAUGUGCCAGUACCAGAAAUUUCAGGAAAAACAAGAAAUUUGUUUUUGAAAUUAGUUGAGCAUAUAGCCCAGUCUCUCAAUGUCACUUC